UGGUGAAUUAUAAUUAAGGUUAAGUCAAGGUGAAACAACAAUAUUCAUAGCUAAAUCACAACCCCAGAGCUAUGGGUUUUAUCCACUCAUGAUAAUAUCAAAACUAAUUCAUAAAUGUUGAAUAAUUAAAAAUAAUAAGAAAAGAUGAAGAAAACUGAGAUAUCCUCGCUCCCGAAUGUUCCUCGUGUGUAUUUUUCCUCUAAAGUGGCGUACCCCCCUUCAAAAUAGGCUUAGUCUUGCUUUUAUACGCGUUGGGUAGGUCUUGUGCUGAAAUAACCUUGUCCCCGGCAAGUUGGAAACAUUUCUGUCACCAGCGCCCAAGGCAGCGUGGGGCACUAGCCCUGGCGCUGGCAAAUUGAGCAUUCUGUAAACGGCGCCACAGGUGGCGUGGGGCGCUGGAAUUCAACAUUUUCCAUUUUUUCUCCGUUUUGGCUCAUAUCUCGCAUCUUUCGCCCCCUAUUUCCUCCAGAUAAUUCCUACACAUAAGAACACCACGAAUUAACAUAAAUCAAUAUAUUUUACAUCUGAAAUUCACGAAACGCGAGAAAAACAUGAGGCGAUAUAUAUAUACUUUAAGAUAAAUAUCAACACCCCACACUCAGACUCUUGCUCAUCCUCGAGCAAUGGGACUAUCAAAUAUACCUCAACCACGUACAAAUCUCAACUAGAGAGGAACACUUCAAUUUGUUUUACCAUACACGCUACCCUUGACUAUGAUCGACACCGAAAAUCAAGCAUGAACAUACAAAAUUCACAUUCUUAUUAUUUUAAACAUGUCCAAGUCUAUCAUUUCAAUUCAAUCAAUAUAAUCCAAACAACCUAUCUGUAACCACCCUACCUCAAGAGCUGACUCGUUACCACUAAGCACUCAACUUGUGCACUCACCCAACAAGAGACGUUUACAACAUUAGCAAUCCUCCACGAGAUCAUGUGGCCUUACAAACAAACAAAAGAAUGAAUAUAGAAUAGUCUACAUAUUCAAGUAUUCCUUUGAAUAUAAAUUAAGGACAUCACACAAUUAAACAAAAUUCGCUCACUCUCAUAAAGAAUUUCUGUGCAUUCCAUGGUCGUACUAUAAGUUUGCCCGUAGUGUACAUCUCUACUAAUCUAAGCUAGCCAAAUCAAGAAUCAUUUAGGACUGUAAGAUUGUAAUGUAGGCUAAGGAACAUGUAGGAUACAUUUAGUGCACCAAAUGGCCUUUUUAUGGUUCCACUUGAAAGCUACUCCCCAAUUUCUCACCUUACUUCUUUAAGGCCACAUGGAGGAUUAGAGUGAAAAAGGAAAGGGAUGACAAGAAAUUGAAUGGAGAAAAUGCGAACAAAGGAGGGGAAACACAAUCAGAGGAUAGGGUAUAAGACAAAAGUAAUAAUGUACAAAGGGAAGUAGAAUAGCAAAGUAAUUCAAAAGAUAGUAACCAAUGGGAACAACAAAAGAAGAAAAAGAUAAGCAGAAAGAAAAAUCAUGUGGAGAAAAUGAUAAGGAGAAUGGGAAUGGUGUACAGCAGUGUGGAACAUCAAGGAACAAAACAAAAAAGAAGGCGGUGACACAAAAGGAGAAUCAGACAAAGAAACAUACCGAGGAGAAUACAGAAGAUAAAAGGCAUCAAAAGGAAAAUGAAACUAAAGAUAACAAAGGACAAAAAGAAAAUGCAUGAAAUCAAAAGCAACAAACUCCAAAAUACAACAAUGAGCAAGAUAAUCACUCAAGAACAUUUGGAGGGGUUCAACAUCAGGAUCUAUUCCAUGACUGCGGCCGGGACAAUAAAGACACAUUAUAAGAAAGUCAGCUAUCCAGAAUACCCCGAAUCCCCUGAACAAACCAGGAAUCAGAUUAUCCCACAACCAUUAUCUCCAUCUGCUCUUUAAGUCUUGAAUAGAAGCAUAAGGAUAGAUAAGAAAGCUGAUAUUGGGAGUGCAAAUGAAUCAUAAGAAGGGGAGCAUAAAAGUUCUGAUCAAGAAUAUGUAGAAGAGGAGAGUGAAUCAGAUGAGUUAGAGAGUGUAGAGGAGGAAUCUAUCUCAGAUGAUGAAACUGCAAAGAAGUUGAUUGAAGUUUUCACCUCCAAAGCUGAUCCAAUGAGGUUGAUAAAGCAUUUGGGGAGGUGAUUGAAAAGGGCCACAUAUCACCAAGAGGAGCCAAAUCCAAUAGAAGAGGUAGAGCUAGCAGAGAUGGUAGGGGAGGUAAAGAAGGAAUAUCAAAUGUUCAACAAAUAGUGAAUACAUCACAGGCC
rnacentral:lncRNA from 1 species